rnacentral:rRNA from 1 species
AUUGAACGCUGGCGGCAGGCCUAACACAUGCAAGUCGAGCGGAAACGACAAUAAAGAUUCUUCGGAUGAUUUGUUGGGCGUCGAGCGGCGGACGGGUGAGUAAAGCCUGGGAAAUUGCCCUGAUGUGGGGGAUAACCAUUGGAAACGAUGGCUAAUACCGCAUAAUAGCUUCGGCUCAAAGAGGGGGACCUUUUAGGCCUCUCGCGUCAGGAUAUGCCCAGGUGGGAUUAGCUAGUUGGUGAGGUAAUGGCUCACCAAGGCGACGUAUCCCUAGCUGGUCUGAGAGGAUAAUCAGCCACACUGCAACUGAGACACGGUCCAGACUCCUACGGGA